CAGCAACAGAUUGAUUCUCUGCAAACCCAGUUGGCAAUUGCACAAGCUGAGGUUGUUCACAUGAGAAUGCAACAAUAUGGUUCGUCUUCCAAUCCAGGCACCGUGGACAUGGUGGUUGAUCAGGCCAACGUUGGGGAGUCUUUGUGGUCAUGCUAGCUUGCUUUGCAUGCUUCAUGCUUGCCUUCCCUUUUUGCCUAUAUACAUAUUAAUUAAUUAUAAUGGGCUUGCUUUAUUGUCUCCCCUCUUCCAUAUACCCUUUUGCUUUUUUCCCCCUUGGUCUUUAUAGCACAUCUCUACUUGACUAAGGCAUGAUGAUUAUGAUCAUUAACCAUAAUUAUAUGUUUAGAAAUAUGUACAAUAUGGUUAAUGAUC
rnacentral:misc_RNA from 1 species